AUGCAGUUUUCGUCAGGAUAACUUCUGUUGUGUUUGAAUUCCUCUUUGUGUGGUUCCCAGCAUUUCAGGCAGUGCAGCACUGCAGCAUCACACCCCUCUCUGGAAUGCUAUUCCCUCAAGACUCCAAUGGCAGAGAGAGAUGGGAAAAGUGACAAGAUGGGGUUAGGCAACCUGGACCCAUUCUUCAAAGCAUUGCAGAGGAGUAAACAAGAGCAACAUAGAUCAUGAUUCACAGAUUGUUUACACAGAUCCCAAGACCAACAUGCCUUAGGACUGAAAAAGGAGAGCAGUCUGCAGCCUCCAGCCUUGCCCAUCUGUGUUAUCAAUAGCACAUACAAAGUCUAGACUCCUUUUUCUGCUGGUGAAGAGGACAAAUCAGCUCAUCACUGCGUAAGAGAGGCAGGCUCUGGGUCGCUGACUUCUGAAGACACCAA